GAGGAAGGAGGAAAAAGAGAAAAAGAUAUUUGCUCGAAUGGUGGACCGUCUGGACUGGAGGAAACGAAUACCCUUUCGGGGUAAUUGCGAAACCAGUUAAACCUUGCAAGCCUUUAUACGUCGCAUAAGUCGCCUUUGAACGCACGGAAAUAGGAUUUUGGCUAAGCUCGAAGCUUCCAUCCCAAGGUUUCUAUGGCUUUCCGCGUUUCCUUCGACAUCGAGGCUUUUAGAAGAAUCCUUGCCGAUGACUUUUACGUCUGACCUUUGUCCUCCUCUUCCUUAUUCCCUCUCGUCUAAGAAAGAAUUUGUAUUCAACUGUCUCUUCUUCUUCCUCUCGAAGGGUUUCUCUUUAA